rnacentral:rRNA from 1 species
AAAUUGAAGAGUUUGAUCAUGGCUCAGAUUGAACGCUGGCGGCAGGCCUAACACAUGCAAGUCGAACGGUAACAGGAAGCAGCUUGCUGCUUCGCUGACGAGUGGCGGACGGGUGAGUAAUGUCUGGGAAACUGCCUGAUGGAGGGGGAUAACUACUGGAAACGGUGGCUAAUACCGCAUAACGUCGCAAGACCAAAGAGGGGGACCUUUGGGCCUCUUGCCAUCAGAUGUGCCCAGAUGGGAUUAGCUUGUUGGUGAGGUAACGGCUCACCAAGGCGACGAUCCCUAGCUGGUCUGAGAGGAUGACCAGCCACACUGGAACUGAGACACGGUCCAGACUCCUACGGGAGGCAGCAGUGGGGAAUAUUGCACAAUGGGCGCAAGCCUGAUGCAGCCAUGCCGCGUGUAUGAAGAAGGCCUUCGGGUUGUAAAGUACUUUCAGCGGGGAGGAAGGUGUUGUGGUUAAUAACCGCAGCAAUUGACGUUACCCGCAGAAGAAGCACCGGCUAACUCCGUGCCAGCAGCCGCGGUAAUACGGAGGGUGCAAGCGUUAAUCGGAAUUACUGGGCGUAAAGCGCACGCAGGCGGUCUGUCAAGUCGGAUGUGAAAUCCCCGGGCUCAA